GUGAGAUCAUUCGUGCUCAAUAUUAGGUCCUGGAGUGAUGUCAACUUUCCCAACUCGGGAGGGAUGGGACCAGAAAGUUGAUUAGUAUCGAGAUACAGAGUUCUUAAACUAGUUAAUCCACUCAACGAAGUAGGAAUUUGACCUGUGAGAUCAUUCGCGCUCAAUUCUAGGUCAUGGAGUGAUGUCAACUUUCCCAACUCGGGAGGGAUGGGACUAGAAAGUUGAUUAGUAUGGAUAUACAGAGUUCUUAAACUAGUUAAUCCACUCAAUGAAGUAGGAAUUUGACCUGUGAGAUCAUUCGUGCUCAAUUCUAGGACCUGGAGUGAUGUCAACUUUCCCAACUCGGGAGGGAUGGGACUAGAAAGUUUAUUAGUAUUUGAUACAGAGUUCUUAAACUAGUUAAUCCACUCAACGAAGUAGGAAUUUGACCUGUGAGAUCAUUCGCGCUCAAUUCUAGGUCAUGGAGUGAUGUCAACUUUCCCAACUCGGGAGGGAUGGGACUAGAAAGUUGAUUAGUAUGGAUAUACAGAGUUCUUAAACUAGUUAAUCUACUCAAUGAAGUAGGAAUUUGACUUGUGAGAUCAUUCGUGCUCAAUUCUAGGUCCUGAAGUGAUGUCAACUUUCCCAACUCGGGAGGGAUGGGACCAGAAAGUUUAUUAGUAUGGAGAUACAGAGUUCUUAAACCAGUUAAUCCACUCAAUGAAGUAGGAGUUUGACCUGUAAGAUUAUUCGUGAGGUUCUGGAGUGAUGUCAACUUUCCCAACUCAGGAGGGAUGGGACCAGAAAGUUGAUUAGUAUCGAGAUACAGAGUUCUUAAACUAGUUAAUGCACUCAAUGAAGUAGGAGUUUGAUCCACUCAAUGAAGUAGGAGUUUGACCUGUAAGAUUAUUCGUGAGGUUCUGGAGUGAUGUCAACUUUCCCAACUCGGGAGGGAUGGGACCAAAAAGUUGAUUAGUAUCGAGAUACAGAGUUCUUAAACUAGUUAAUCCACUCAAUGAAGUAGGAAUUUGACCUGUGAGAUUAUUCGUGCUCAAUUCUAGGUUCUGGAGUGAUGUCAGCUUUCCCAACUCGGGAGGGAUGGGACCAGAAAGCUGAUUAGUAUGGAGAUACAGAGUUCUUAAACUAGUUAAUCCACUCAAUGAAGUAGGAAUUUGACCUGUGAGAUCAUUCGUGCUCAAUUUUAGGUCCUGGAGUGAUGUCAACUUUCCCAACUCAGGAGAGAUGAGACCAAAAAGUUGAUUAGUAUGGAGAUACAGAGUUCUUAAACUAGUUAAUCC
rnacentral:lncRNA from 1 species